rnacentral:rRNA from 1 species
UACAGAGGUCUCAAGCGUUGUUCGGAAUUACUGGGCGUAAGGGCGCGUAGGCGGUUCGAUAAGUCCCGUGUGAAAUCCCUCGGCUCAACUGAGGAAUGGCACGGGAAACUGACGGGCUUGAGUUCGGGAGAGGGAAGCGGAAUUCCUGGUGUAGCGGUGGAAUGCGCAGAUAUCAGGAGGAACACCGGUGGCGAAGGCGGGAUCCUGGGCCAGUACUGACGCUGAGGAGCGAAAGCGUGGGGAG